rnacentral:rRNA from 1 species
UACGAGGGGGGCAAGCGUUGUUCGGAAUUAUUGGGCGUAAAGGGUGCGUAGGCGGUCUGAUAAGUCAUCUAUGAAAUCUAUGGGCUCAACCCAUAGUCUGCAGGCGAAACUGUCGGGCUUGAGUAUGGGAGAGGUGAGUGGAAUUUCCGGUGUAGCGGUGAAAUGCGUAGAUAUGACAUAGAACAUCGAUUGCGAAGGCAGCUCGCUACACUAUGAUUGACACUGAGGCACGAAAGCGUGGGGAUCAAACAGG